AUUUUUAUUUUUAUUCUAGUUGUUUGUGGAUGUUGCUUUACACCUCAAAAGUCGGGUUACAUUUUAACUGAACCAACUAGAUCAUUCAAUUUAUGAGCUGACAUUCAGCAAGUGUUUAUUGGGAGGGGAAGUGUACUCCACUCUAAAAAUGGAAAUAGCAUGUUGAAUAAGAAAACAAUCCUAUUAAUCUUGGCUACUCUCUCAGGAAGAAAUACUUUCUCAAAAACCUCAUAAUCCAUACAAAAAGAAAUCUUACUUGUUUGAUCUUACAACAAAUAUACCAGUACAGUAUGUAGUGUAAAUGCAAAGAUAAAUAAAAUUUAAAAAAAGCAAAACCUAACCAGUCUAUUUUCGUCAUGAGAGAGGAGAAAAAAAACCCUAACAAAGUCUCUGUUGGAACGCUCAGCGAUUUCCAUUCCUAAGUACCACAAACUGAAAUUCUUCUAUUGAAUAAUUUCUUCCUACAGCGGACUUGUUUCCCCCAUUGCACGCUACCAAAAUUAUCAGUAUUCUGCCAGAACAUGGUCGUUUAAGACCACUAAUGAAACCCUACAGGACCGCAAUCCAAAAUGCCAGUCAUGAUUCCUGUAAGGUCCAGAAAAAAAUCCCAAAUUGUAGUCCCAGGCCACGGAAACAGUCUAUGCAAAGGACUCCAAGAAUAGGAUGUCCUCAUGGACGCGAUCAGUCAUGACCUCCCUGACACCACAUGACCUUUCUACGAAGGCAGUUCUUAAAACUUAGCAACUGAACUCUCCCCUCUCUGAAGUUCAAGGAGGCAGGGCGGCUGCUGAGAUGCGCGGGUCGGCUGCUCAGUGCCACCCCGGGUCAAGUGCUCGUCUUUCGCUACCCCCCUUACCGUGAGCAGAUCAGAGAGGGAAGAAAGGAAAAGUGGCCUCCAAGGAUGGGUUUGGGGAAGAAGGGAGGGGCAGCUCCGUGUGUGGUAACCGUUUGUGAACACGUAGGGUGGUGGCGCACGGGCCGAAAAGAACCAACUAUGGGAGCCCNNNNNNNNNNNNNNNNNNNNNNNNNNNNNNNNNNNNNNN
ensembl:lincRNA Gm43332 predicted gene 43332